rnacentral:tRNA from 1 species
CGGGGCGUAGCGCAGCCUGGUAGCGCGCUUGCGUGGGGUGCAAGAGGUCGCAAGUUCAAAUCCUGUCGCCCCGA